rnacentral:tRNA from 1 species
CAUCGAAUAGCUUAAAGUAAGCAAAAGCCUCUUAAGCUUAGUAAUGGUAGUUUGCGCCUACCUUCGAUGG